AUUCUAGAAGAACAGAAGAUGCAUAAACCAAGAGACUCGCUGCCGCACUGCCUGUGAUGGAAACAGUGAGGACAGCCUACACGCACCCAGCAUCAGUCAUCAUUGGUGGGUCUGUGCUGUGGAAACCCCCAGUUCUGUUAAAAAAUGCACGGUAGAUCUAAGAGAAGAACACUGGAAAAAUCCGUGAUGGAGCAACACAGUAAUCUUCCCCUGUGUUUUUGAAUCCUUUUUGAAGGAGGAACAAAUAGGGACAGGUAAAUAGCAUCUCCUUCACUUGAGUCAUUCUGAAUUGAUACCACAUUAACGUCUCCUGUUUCAAGCCACCCAUGGCCCCACUCACUUCAAAAGGGCCUCCAGCUCCCGCUUGACCCUGCCCACCACGGGCGGUCCGCGGUAGGUGAGGGCCGUGUACAGCUGCACCAGGGAGGCCCCCGCCCGGAUCUUCUCCAGCGCGUCCUGCCCACUGCUGACGCCACCGACCCCGAUGAUGGGGACUCCGCCUGCACCGAAGCACAUGCAACAGUGUGAGGAAGGGCGGGCAACGCGAGCACCUCGGUUUGCCUUCCGCCCUCCGGCCCCUGCGGAAUGCAGUUCAGGGAACCCCGAAUCCGAUCAAACCCCAGAGCCCGAUGAGCCGCACGCAAAUCUGAAGACACAGGGACCGAAUUCUUGCCUUUGGGACCUGGGGUCAGACUGGAGAGGGUCACAGAAUACCCUAGUCUGACCCAGGAUGCAAGCGAAAGCCUUCAAGCCCUUGCCGGAUAAAUCUGAGCAAAGAGAGGAGGGAAGAAGAACAGGAAAAUGACUCCUCCAAACAUUAGCUUUGUAUUCUGUGGGCGUCCCUCUCCUGCAGUACCUAGAGCAACACACCGCCAGAGACAAGGACCCCUGAGGCCACAGCCCCCAGUGCACCUGACCUGCAGCCCCAGAUCAGCAUGUUCUCACACUGAAGCAGCAGCAGCGUCUCCUUUCCCGGAAAUACAGCUCCCGGUUAUGCCAAAGACCCCAUCAAGAUGGAUCUGAUUCUCUUGAACCAAGGGAUCCCCAAGAGUGGCGCAGCUCCGCCUUUCCCUGAAGGCUCCGCAGCCCAGCCGUGUUCGGACUGGACACGUUCACUACCAGGUAGUCCGCCAAGGGGCCCAGGACGCGAACCCCCUCCGCGUAGUCCGCAGCA